rnacentral:lncRNA from 1 species
AGUUACAGGGGUAGGCAAAUAUUACCGUAAAUAGUUAAUAAUACUUAAUAUCUGCUAAGCAUUGCAAAGGUGGUUUUUUAAAGGGAGAUCAGGCAACAGUUCGAGUAUGGGAAAUCCUUUGUAGAAUUUAAAAAAUGGGUAUCUUCUUUUGGCAAGAAGUAAAAUGUAUCCUCUAUGUUUUGGUUUAGAAUUUUGAGAAUUUUUUUUUCCUGCUGAAACAGAACUGCCGUUGAUCUUUGAACAAUGUGGGGGUUAAGGGUACCGACUCCUGUGCAGUCAAAAAUUCACAUAUAACUUUUGACUCCCCCAAAACUUUACUAAUGACGUACUGUUGACCAGAAGCCUUACCAAUAAUGUAAAUAUUUGACUAACACAUAUUUUUUGUGUUAUAUGUAUUAUAUAUUGUGUUCUUAAAACAAGCUAAAGAAAAUGUUAUUAAGAAAAUUAUAAAAAAUAGAAAAUACAUUUACUGUUUAUGAAGUGGAAAUGAAUCAUUAUAAAAGUCUUCAUCCUCAUGGUUUCCCCAUUGAGUAGGCUAAGAAGGAGGAGAAAGAGGAGGGGUUAGUCUUGAUAUCUCAGGGGUGACAGAGAUGGAAAAUGUGUAACAGUUGAGAGAGGAGGCAGGAGAGGCAGGCACACUUGGUGUAACUUUACAGAAACAUCAUAAUUCCUAUCAUUUUGCUUUUUCAGUUCUCUAAAAAUAUUUCUACAUGGAACCAAACCUUCUUCCACCAUUUGCUUUAGUUUCAGUGCCCAUAUCGUAGAAAGGUCCAUGUCAUAAAAGAAGUCAAAAGCGGUCUUCAACAUAACUCUUUUGACAGAUUGCCUAAUGUCAGUUUAUUUUCUGGCGCUGUUUCUUCUUCGUCUUUUUCUUCACCAUCUGGCACUGGAUUGUAAACACUCAUCUCCAUCAAAUCAUCUUCUGUGAAUUCCUCUAUUGUGGUUUGGUGUCUAUUAGCUUUUGAAUUUCUCUAAGAUGUAUAUUUUGAAAGCCUUCAUCCCUUACUUUUUAAUUUUGCCAUAUCCACAGUCUCUUUCAUUAUUUCCUUGAUUGGUUCUGUUAUAAAUCCUGUGAGAUCAUACACAGCAUCUGGACACAGUUUUGUGUUGUUUUUUUCCCAGCAGAAAUUUAUUGUUUCAGUCUUGAUGGCUUUUAUGGAUUUUUCUGUAACAACAGCAGCAUCUUCAAUGGUGUAAUCCUUCCAGAUUUUCAUGAUAUUUUCUCUUUUGGGGUUUGGUGACAUAUUAAUAGAUUGACAAUUUUUUUCCAUAGAGUACUGUGCAUAAUGAGCCUUAAAGGUCCUUAUGAUUCUUGACCUAGAGGCUGAAUUACAGAUGCUGUGUUUAGAGGCAAGUAGACCACUUCUAUGACUUCACUGUUGAACUCAUAGAGUUCUGGGUGGUCAGGGGCAGUGUCCAAUAUCAAAAGAACUUUAAAAGGCAGUCUGUUACUGUCAAGGUAACAAAGGAUCAAUAGAACCAAUCCAGAAAAAGGGUUCUCCUCUUGAGGCCUUCUUGUUGUAUAAGCAAAAGACUAGCAGAUGAUGACAUGAUCCUAUUUGCAGAAAACUUAAAAGACUUCACCAAGAAACUG